GGAAGUAAAAGUCGUAGCAAGGUCUCCGUUGGUGAACCAGCGGAGGGAUCAUUAUCGAGUUUAUAACUCCCAAACCCUAUGUGAACUUACCACUUGUUGCUUCGGCGCGCGCUUCGGCGCCGCCGAGGACACUUAAACUCUUUGUUUUUAUAAGCAUUUCUGAGUGGCCGAAAGGCAAAAUACAAAUGAAUCAAAACUUUCAACAACGGAUCUCUUGGUUCUG
rnacentral:misc_RNA from 1 species